GACGUAGGGCGCGAGCGUUGUCCGGAUUUAUUGGGCGUAAAGAGCUCGUAGGCGGCUUGUUGCGUCAGCUGUGAAAACCCGCAGCUCAACUGUGGGCUUGCAGCUGAUACGGGCAGGCUUGAGUUCGGUAGGGGAGACUGGAAUUCCUGGUGUAGCGGUGAAGUGCGCAGAUAUCAGGAGGAACACCGGUGGCGAAGGCGGGUCUCUGGGCAUUAACUGACGCUGAGGAGCGAAAGCAUGGGGAGCGAACAGG
rnacentral:rRNA from 1 species